GACGAACGCUGGCGGCGUGCUUAACACAUGCAAGUCGAACGGAAAGGCCCUGCUUUUGUGGGGUGCUCGAGUGGCGAACGGGUGAGUAACACGUGAGUAACCUGCCCUUGACUUUGGGAUAACUUCAGGAAACUGGGGCUAAUACCGGAUAGGAGCUCCUGCUGCAUGGUGGGGGUUGGAAAGUUUCGGCGGUUGGGGAUGGACUCGCGGCUUAUCAGCUUGUUGGUGGGGUAGUGGCUUACCAAGGCUUUGACGGGUAGCCGGCCUGAGAGGGUGACCGGCCACAAUGGGACUGAGAUACGGCCCAGAAUCCUACGGGAGGCAGGAGGGGGAAAUAUUGCACCAUGGGCGGAAGGCUGAUGCAGCAACGGCGCGUGGGGGAUGACGGCCUUCGGGGUGGAAACCGCUUUCGCCUGUGACGAAGGGUGAGUGACGGUAAUGGGUAAAGAAGCACCGGCUAACUACGUG
rnacentral:rRNA from 1 species